UUCCAAGGAACUCGACGA
rnacentral:snRNA from 1 species